CAGCCGUAAACAAUGUGCGUUAGGUGUGUCGGUAACCACGCGUUACUGAUGCGCCGAAGAGAAGUCGUGAAACGCACCACCUGGGAAGUACGGUCGCAAGGCUGAAACUUAAAGGAAUUGGCGGGGGAGCACCACAACAGGUGGAGCCUGCGGUUUAAUUGGAUUCAACGCCGGACAUCUCACCGGAUAAGACAGCUGAAUGAUUGUCAAUCUGAAGGUUUUACAUGACUAGCUGAGAGGAGGUGCAUGGCGUCAGUGACU
rnacentral:rRNA from 1 species